CCUACGGGGGGCAGCAGUGGGGAAUAUUUGCGCAAUGGGCGAAAGCCUGACGCAGCGACGCCGCGUGAGGGAUGAAGGUCUUCGGAUCGUAAACCUCUGUCAGCAGGGAAGAACGGUCACUGUGCUAAUCAGCAGUGAAUUGACGGUACCCCUUGAAUAAGCCACGGCUAACUACGUGCCAGCAGCCGCGGUAAUACGGAGGUGGCAAGCGUUGUCCGGAUUUUCUGGGUGUAAGGGGCGAGCAGCCGGAGAGACAAGUCAGAUGUGAAAUCCACGGGCUCAACCGUUGAACUGCAUUUGAAACGGUUUGCCUUGAGUGCCGGAGGGGUAAUCGGAAUUCCUUGUGUAGCGGUGAAAUGCGUAGAUAUAAGGAAGAACACCAGUGGCGAAGGCGGAUGACUGGACGAUAACUGACGGUGAGGCGCGAAAGCGUGGGGAGCAAACAGGAUUAGAUACCCGGGUAGUC
rnacentral:rRNA from 1 species